UGUGUAGGCGGCUUGACAUCAGAAGGGCUUCAAUUAGCUCUUGAACAUGUCCUGGAACAGCAGUGAAUUUAUCCUCACUGUUCUGCUGUGCAUUCCUUUUCCCUAAGCACAAAAGGAAAUGCAGUGCUGCCUCCAAGGACGCUCCAGCUGGCGUUACCUGUGGGUGAUGUCCCAUCUGCUGCUGACAGGAACAAGCAGGAGAGCUGGAGUCAGAGAGAAACACAAAAGAUCAGCAAACAUCUUGUGCGGGAUCACAAGCUGCCAGAGGCCAUUUCUGCACUUGCUGUGCGUGAUUCUGAGACCCAGAGAGACAUAUCUGCGGUUCUGCUGCCUCUGCUGCCCCGAGUGGAGCUGCUGGUGCACCAGAGCAGGCUUUCGCGGCCAGGUGAAAUGGGAGCUGCCUUUCCUCUCCCAGCAUCACCUAAGCUAUCACCUCUGGCAGAAUGCAUCUCUGCCCUAGGACCGCUUGAAGGACACUGUGGAUCACUGCACUGAGUUGGCUUAGGUCUUGUGAGGUAGAUCCAUGGAUAAAGGGCAGAAGUGGAAUUCAGACACCAAAGUUUUGCUUCCCUUUUUUGCCUUAUUUGCUUGCUGUUUGCUAAUUCCUGGCCCCCUGGCUGAUUCCCUUUCUGAUCACUGACAUGCACUUAGCCUGGAAUCUGUUCUGCUAGCUCAGGGUUUAGGGGGAAAUCUGUCACCCUCAUUGCUGCCUUCUGCUUCCAUUUCUUGUCUCUGACUUUGGUGGCUGAUACAUUUUUUUUUUUUCAGUGUCAUAAAAUGUAGGGUUGUAAAAUUCAUAUUGUAACUUUAACAGCCACAUCUGUUUUAAACAUUUUUGUUUUAAGAACUCAAUGUGAAUUUAAUGACAAGGCAAUAAAAGGGAAAGUUGAAGGAAAUUAUCA